GGCUCGGAGCUGUGUCUAAGAGACGAAGUAAACAAUCAGCAAAUCUAAAAAGGCAGGCUACAGAAUGGGAGAAGAUAUUUGCAAAUGACAUAUGAGAUAAAGGGUUAGUAUCUAAAAUCUAUAACGAACCUAUCAAACUUAACACCC